UUAAGUUAUCUCUACACUCAACAUGGGACUCAAGCUUACCACCCUGAGAGCAAGAAUCAUACACUCCACCAUCCAAGCCAGCCGGGUGCUGCCAUUGAGAGCUUCGUGUCUUCUCUUGUCUUGUUAUAUUCUCUAGGUUCCUGUGAAAACUUUCAGAAUUAACUGAUGUAACAAGAUAAUGACAUUAGCUCAAAUGGUUUCUGUUUCCUCUUUACCGUGCUUCGCAAGGAGAAUUUUAUUUUUCCGUACUGCGUGAGCAAAGUUUGAGAAUCUGGGAAGAUAGCCAAGAAACAUCGCCCUCUGAAAAAACAAAGGCUGUGAGAAUAAGAAGAAUGGCAUUAACUGACCCUGUGGAAAUAACACAUUUAAGUGAUGAUGGGAUGCCACAUUGCAGCUGGUCGUGUCUAUCUUAGACUCCUCUUGGCUGUAUCAGUGUCUCCGACUUUCCUUGUUUUUGAUGGCCUUGACAGUUUGGAGGAGUACCAGUCGAGUAUUUUGAAGAAUGCCUCUGAGUUGGGAUCCAUCUGAUCUUUUCUCUGUGAUUAGACUGGGGUUAAACGUUUUGGGGAAAGGCCAUGGAGGAAGAGUGCCAUUUUCAUCACAUCAGACCAACAGUCGCCCUAUCGACACGACUUAUCACCGUUGAUGGAUGUCAGGUUUCUCUACUGCAAAUAAAGAGAAUUUUUAAACUGC